UACAAGCUUUUAGAGGUACCCGUGUUUGGGCACUAGUGUAAUGGAGAGAGGGACUUAGCGGACAAACACAGCGCUCGGGAACACCUCGCGAAGAAUGUCGCUCAGGAUGUAUCAAAUCUACAUCCGGGCAUGUCUUUGAUGGCUAAUGGUAGACUUCCGCAAGGAACCGAUCACAUGUGUGUUUGAGAAGCGCAACUCCGAGAGAACACAGAGAGAACACAUUACAAUUGGAGAUCAGCGCAAUGAGGUAUCAUAGAUAAAAUAAAAUGGAACAAGAGCACACUGAAAUUCCAUUGCCAGUGAUGAUGUGACAGUGCAGCGUGUCAACGUUUAAACGACUACAGCAGUGGCAUCGACGACACUGUGUGUGUGUGUGUGUGUGUGUGUGUGUGUGUGUGUGUGUGUGUGUGUGUGUGUGCGUGCGCGAGGGGGAGCGGACAAAGUACGACAUUCGUUUUACGCCGUUCCAACGAUUUCGAAAUAAAAAAUCUUGCAUUUUGAUGUAUGGAACAAUAGCAUGGAAAAUACUGAUCGCCAUGUAUUAUUUGUAUUCACAGAAAGUAUAUGUGACACGUGGAAUUAAUGCCAUGUGGGUUCGCAAAAACUCAGAAGUGUUGCCUGACUUUUUAUAAUCUCAGAAAAGAAAGACAGUUCUGUCAAAACAUUUGAUUUUUCAACUUUGUACACCGUUAUCCAGCAUGACAAACUUCAUUCCUUGAUCCAUGGGGCUUUUGUUACAAAACGUGGUGAACAUAGAUACAGUUACAAAUCUAUCUUCAGAGGUUCAGGCCAGUUUUUCAAAAAAUAUUCAUUAGGAUUCUGAGUGACAAAACACUCUCCACAAAACUGUAUGUCAAGAGGCAUGAUUUCAACUUUCCAGUAGUCAAUUUUCCCUGUAUGUGGAGCAUAUGUCUGAAACUCCAACCUUUGGUGUGUACAUUCCAAAACUUUUGAGGUACAAUCCAGCAUGCUAUUUCUACCAAGGAUUCUAAAAGCGUCAUACGACUCUUGCUCGGAAGUUGUUUGAUCAAGGUUGCAAACACUCAAGGUUUCUGUAAAGUUUUCAAAAAGUGUUAUGGUAGACAUAUGGAGGACAUUUCCAAAUU
rnacentral:lncRNA from 1 species